rnacentral:rRNA from 1 species
AACUUGUGCUAAUACCGGAUAAGUCUUUACGGAGAAAGCUUUAUGCACCAUUGGAUGAGCCUGCACUUGAUUAGUUUGUUGGUGGGGUAAUGGCCUACCAAGACUUUGAUCAAUAGCUGAUUUGAGAGGAUGAUCAGCCACAUUGGGACUGAGACACGGCCCAAACUCCUACGGGAGGCAGCAGUGGGGAAUCUUGCACAAUGGAGGAAACUCUGAUGCAGCGAUGCCGCGUGAGUGAAGAAGGCCUUUGGGUUGUAAAGCUCUAUCGUCGGGGAAGAAAAUGACUGUACCCGAAUAAGAAGGUCCGGCUAACUUCGUGCCAGCAGCCGCGGUAAUACGAAGGGACCUAGCGUAGUUCGGAAUUACUGGGCUUAAAGAGUUCGUAGGUGGUUGAAAAAGUUGGUGGUGAAAUCCCAAAGCUUAACUCUGGAACUGCCAUCAAAACUUUUCAGCUAGAGUUUGAUAGAGGAAAGCAGAAUUUCUAGUGUAGAGGUGAAAUUCGUAGAUAUUAGAAAGAAUACCAAUUGCGAAGGCAGCUUUCUGGAUCAUUACUGACACUGAGGAACGAAAGCAUGGGUAGCGAAGAGGAUUAG